GGACCUUCGCUAGUAGAAUGGAUAAAUUUUCAUCCUUAUUACGGGCAUCUCUAGUACCAACAAUGCCCUAAUAACCAUUAGUCAUCCCGAUCGACAACCCGUAAUCGGACUACAACCCCUCUCGUAUGGGUUUACUGCACCCUUCUCAAUUGGUAGUGGCUUCAGUGGUUUACAAUUCCCUUCAUGAGCACCAUUUCCCGUGCAUGGAGAUCGAGAAAAGCCUUUAUAGUCGACAGCUUUUCCUUGUACACCUGAAAGAAAUGCUCCAACCAAAAGCACCACAAGAAACAUAGUCUUUCCUUUCAAUGUAUCCAUUCUCG
rnacentral:lncRNA from 1 species